CUACAAACAAGAUAAAAUUACGCUGGCUAGAUAAAAUAAAUUGCAAAGGUUGGCCAUCUGUAUGCACGUCUAUUUCUUUUUAAUUGCAAUAUACUGUUCUGCUUCUAUGUUCCUCGUUUUCCUUGGGUUAAGGUAGAUUUGUAAUUGGGAUGAAGAUUAAAAAGACACAUUCAGGCAUAACCAAUGCGGAUUGGGGAUAUAACGUUCACGCGGGUCCAAUACAGUAUGC